UAUAGAUUGACCCCAUGGCCGCGACACAUUCUCUUUCAUUUUCUCGGCGGACGUCCGUAUGGUUUGAGGUACAAACUUUCUGAAGUUCGCUUGGUAAAUUACUGGUAAAUUCCUGCCAAUAAACUGUUGGGCCCCAAGUAUGAUGCCAAUGUGCCAGAAGAUAACAGGUUUCAUCCAAGCAUGCUCUCCCAAUAUUUAAAGCGUCUCAAGGUUAAAAUGGGUUUGCUUGUUGAUCUAACAAACACUACCGGCUUCUACAGUAUGACCGCAACGAGAUCGAGAACGAGGGUGUUAAAUAUGUGAAGCUUCAGUGCAAAGGAGACUACUGAGAUGUUCAUCAGACUGUGAGCACUUCAUGGAGAAGACUACCACUGAAUUGGUGUCCACUGCACGCACGGCUUCAAUCGGACAGGCUUUCUGAUCUGUGCAUACCUGGUGGAGAAGAUGGAUUGGAGGAACAUCAGCCCAAUUUUAGGAAGGAGAUGGGAGUGGUGUGGUUUGAAAUUGUCCUUCUGCAGGAGCGGAGAUAUUGCCUCGUCUCCUCAAACUUCAAGUUUGCUGAAGCCAUUGUAUGCAAGGCCAGGCAGUGCUGCAUUGUAAUCAAAUGGAUCAUUUUCAAUUCACCCUUGUCACAUCAGCAGUUUGUCUACAAGCUCUCUGAAACACAUUCAAUACAGUCAUUGUGAGCUUGGAAACCAUUCUCAAUGUACAAUGGAAGUUUUUCAGAACUAAUCAUCUAUCAUUAAUUAAAUAUCCUCCCAUCUGC